GGAUGGAGAGGUAGAGGGAUGGAGAGAGAGGGAUGGGGAGAUAGAGGGAUGGAGAGGUAGAGGGAUGGAGAGAUAGAGGGAUGGGGAGAGAGAGGGAUGGAGAGGUAGAGGGAUGGAGAGAUAGAGGGAUGGAGAGACAGAGGGAUGGAGAGAGAGAGGGAUGGAGAGAUAGAGGGAUGGAGAGAGAGGGAUGGGAGAGAUAGAGGGAUGGAGAGAGUGAGGGAUGGAGGAGGAAGGUGUUAAUAGAGAAGACUGGUAGAAGAGAGAAAUAAAGGCAGAG
ensembl:lncRNA